UACAGAGGUCUCAAGCGUUGUUCGGAUUCAUUGGGCGUAAAGGGUGCGUAGGUGGCGCCGUAAGUCGGGUGUGAAAUUUCGGAGCUUAACUCCGAAACUGCAUUCGAUACUGCGGUGCUUGAGGACUGGAGAGGAGACUGGAAUUCAUGGUGUAGCAGUGAAAUGCGUAGAGAUCAUGAGGAAGACCAGUGGCGAAGGCGGGUCUCUGGGCAGUUCCUGACACUGAGGCACGAAGGCCAGGGGAGCAAACGGG
rnacentral:rRNA from 1 species